rnacentral:lncRNA from 1 species
AUAAAAUAGCUUGCUUUUUCGCAACCUUCCCUACAGGGUAAUGGGGAGUAUCUAGGAGUAUGAUUGGAGAUGCUUGUCAGUGCAUGACUUCUGGCAAAUUCUGAUCUUCUGAGUAAGACCCAGGCUGGUGGACACUGGGCUCUGAAUCAUCGCAGGUUACUUGUUCAACCGCAUUUUGCUCCUGGCUCCUCCUCUUGACCCUCCAGCUGCUCCUCCCAGCCUGGCUUGUCAGCUCUCCCCUCCUGUUUGAGGCCUCUUCCCCCAUUCCUCACUCCUCCUCCUCCAACCUGUGCCUCCCCUGCAGCCUCUCCCCAGAGCCUUGCAGCCAGAUGGCUUCAUUCUCCAUCGUGCAGGGUUGGGAGCACACCACGCCUCCUUCUGGCCUGGCCAGGGCCUCCUGGGUGCAGCCUCCAGUUAGCGUUCGCAGCUUGCAAAAGUGCAUCUAGUUGUGAAGCAGCCGCACAGGAGGUGUCAGGACUCCCUCGGGGCAUGCAAAGGAGCCACCUUGCUGCAGGGCUGCGUUUCUGAGAUGGAGGCAGAAAGGAGGCAACGCUGCAGCAUGCAUUCUGCCUUUUCUGCCUACUUGGACUCGGU